GAAAUGCGAUAAGUAGUGUGAAUUGCAGAAUUCAGUGAAUCAUCGAAUCUUUGAACGCACAUUGCGCCCCUUGGUAUUCCAUGGGGCAUGCCUGUUCGAGCGUCAUUUGUACCCUCAAGCUUUGCUUGGUGUUGGGCGUCUUGUCCUCUUCUGGAGGACUCGCCUCAAAACAAUUGGCAGCCGGCAUAUUGGUAUCGGAGCGCAGCACAAGUCGCACUUUGUUCUAUGAAUGUUGGCAUCCAUCAAGACCAUUUUUUCACUCUUGACCUCGGAUCAAGCAAGAUCACCCACUGAACUUAA
rnacentral:misc_RNA from 1 species